rnacentral:rRNA from 1 species
AGUGAACGCUGGCGGUAUGCCUAACACAUGCAAGUCGAACGGCAGCACAGUAAGCGCUUGCUCUUACGGGUGGCGAGUGGCGGACGGGUGAGGAAUACAUCGGAAUCUACUUUUUCGUGGGGGAUAACGUAGGGAAACUUACGCUAAUACCUCAUACGACCUACGGGUGAAAUCAGGGGUUCUUCGGACCUUGCGCGAUUGAAUUAGCCGAUGUCGGAUUAGCUAGUUGGCGGGGUAAAGGCCCACCAAGGCGACGAUCCGUAGCUGGUCUGAGAGGAUGAUCAGCCACACUGGAACUGAGACACGGUCCAGACUCCUACGGGAGGCAGCAGUGGGGAAUAUUGCACAAUGGGCGCAAGCCUGACCCAGCAAUGCCGCGUGGGUGAAGAAGGCCUUCGGGUUGUAAAGCCCUUUUGUUGGGAAAGAAAAGCAGCAGGUUAAUCCACCGCUGUUCUGACGGUACCCAAAGAAUAAGCACCGGCUAACUUCGUG